rnacentral:lncRNA from 1 species
ACAACAUACAUCUACACAAUAGAAUACUGACAGAUGCAUAUUGUCUUCUAAGAGGCUCCAAUCAGCAGCUGACACCCACAGCCAAACAGUGGAUAGAGGUUGGCAACUCUUAUGAAAGAAUAGGAGGAAGGACUAUGACCCUGAGGCAGAUAGGAACUCUUCAGGAAGACCAACAGCAUCAACUAACCUGGACUCUUUGGCUCUCAGAGACUGAACCACCA